rnacentral:rRNA from 1 species
AUUGAACGCUGGCGGCAGGCCUAACACAUGCAAGUCGAACGGUAACAGGAAACAGCUUGCUGUUUCGCUGACGAGUGGCGGACGGGUGAGUAAUGUCUGGGAAACUGCCUGAUGGAGGGGGAUAACUACUGGAAACGGUAGCUAAUACCGCAUAACGUCGCAAGACCAAAGAGGGGGACCUUCGGGCCUCUUGCCAUCGGAUGUGCCCAGAUGGGAUUAGCUAGUAGGUGGGGUAACGGCUCACCUAGGCGACGAUCCCUAGCUGGUCUGAGAGGGUGACAGGACACACUGGAACUGAGAAACGGCCCAGACACCGACGGGAGGCAGCAGUGGGGAAUAUUGCGCAAUGGGCGAAAGCCUGAUGGAGCAAAGCCGCGUGAAUGAAGAAGGAGUUCGGGUUGUAAAGUACUGUAGGCGGGGAUGAAGGGAGUAAAGUUAAUAACUUAUGUAAUUGACGGUACCCGCAGAAGAAGCACCGGCUAACUCCGUG